rfam:Gossypium arboreum cultivar AKA8401 contig_44068_1, whole genome shotgun sequence.
AAUAGUAGAAUGACAAAUUAAAUUUUUUCUCUUAAUUUUUAGCUUUUUUUCUCCUAAAAAAUUCAGAUUCAACUAAAAAUGCUGAAAAUCAGGAGGAAAAAUUUGAUUUGUCAUUUUCCUAUU